rnacentral:rRNA from 1 species
GGAGGAAAAGAAACCAACCGGGAUUGCCUUAGUAACGGCGAGUGAAGCGGCAAAAGCUCAAAUUUGAAAUCUGGUACCUUCGGUGCCCGAGUUGUAAUUUGUAGAGGGCGACUUUGGGGCGGCUCCUUGUCUAUGUUCCUUGGAACAGGACGUCAUAGAGGGUGAGAAUCCCGUGUGGCGAGGAGUGCGGUUCCGUGUAAAGCGCUCUCGAAGAGUCGAGUUGUUUGGGAAUGCAGCUCUAAGUGGGUGGUAAAUUCCAUCUAAAGCUAAAUAUUGGCGAGAGACCGAUAGCGAACAAGUACAGUGAUGGAAAGAUGAAAAGAACUUUGAAAAGAGAGUGAAAAAGUACGUGAAAUUGUUGAAAGGGAAGGGCAUUUGAUCAGACAUGGUGUUUUGUGCCCCUCGCUCCUUGUGGGUGGGGGAAUCUCGCAGCUCACUGGGCCAGCAUCAGUUUUGGCGGUCGGAUAAAACCAGGGGAACGUAGCUUGCUUCGGGAAGUAUUAUAGCCUCUG